AUGAAAACACCGGAAGAAAAGCUGGACAAGAUGGUCCCUACCUGUUUGAACUGUUUGACACAGGGAAGGCAGAAGUUCCUUUGUCACCAGACAUCUAAACAUCAUCAGCUCCAUUUGUCACCUCUUGUGCCCAGAGUCCUGGGUAGCAUUCCACAGGGCCAGUUCCUGAAUGGCAGCAGUGAAGAUGUUGGGUGGAGGCCUCUGGAAGCCAUCCUUACCUUGCUUCUUCAACAAAAGUGAUACCAGUUAAGUAUUCAUUCAACCAGGAACCCUGAAUAUCUGCACUGUACCACAGGAUGGUUAUAGAACCCUCCAUUACAGAAAACUGGAAAAGAAGAAAAACUGAAAACCACCUAUCUCAGUUCUCAGUUACACACAGUUAAUGUUCAGGUAUGUGUUGCCUCCCCCAGCCCUAUAUCAUUUUAUAGCUUCAGUUCUUUAAAGACAUAGAAAAUCUUAAAGUAACACGUGGUAGCUAAAAUUUGGUAAAUUCUGAAAAGAGUUAAGAAAGAACCAAUUUAUGUUGAGGGAAAAUUAAAGGUAUUUGCCAUGCCGUUUCAAGGAAAUCUUUCUUGGACACACAAACGAUCAGUAAGCUCACAUUCUUUGCCUAUAGGCAACAAUUCCUUGCUAUUCAUCUUCUCAUUAGCUGAUAUUAGGAUAUCCUCUAUUCAUCUAAAUGCAAUUUUUAAAGAAAUUGUGAAAGUUUUUAGUUAUAGAGCUUAUACAUUUAAGCUUUUCUGGAUUUGUAAUCUUUAAUAAGCUGAUAUUUUAUAAUAUUUAGUUCUCUUUCUGCAUCAUUGACAAGUUUUAGUAUAUGGAUUAAGAAAUGUUUUAUCUUACAGAUAAAAUAUACAAAUUAGUAAGGAUUGCAGAAGCUUUUUAAAAAGUUGGGUUAACUAUAGAUUUUAUAGAAAAGCUUCAAAAUUAGUACAGAGUUACUAUGCCCUGCUUUCAGCUUCCACUAAUGCUAACACCUUCUAUAAAUAUUACAGGUUUGUCAAAACUAACUUGUUUGCAUCAGGAUGACACUAACUAGGAUUCUUUAUUUAGAUUUUGCCAGUUUUGAGCUGGGAAUGUGGCUCAAGCAGUAGUGCG
rnacentral:lncRNA from 1 species